UUUUUACUUUUUGGAAUUAAAUACAAUCCUCUUCCCUAACUUUCCGCUGCAGUAAAAACCCAGAGGACGGUGUCGCCGCAGCAGCAGGUGGGUUUCAAACCCUUGGCCGCUGCCUCGUCUCUGACCGUUGGAGAACGGCUGUCUGAACUGCUGCAUCCAACGAGAUUCCGUUGUCUCAGUCGGAACGCCGUCAUGUCAUCGAAAUUUUCCCGUCUCCACACUCGUCUGCUGUUAAUCACUGGUCUGCCUGAGUACGCGGACGGCCGCUACACCGAGGAGGACGUGGCCCAACUGCUCUGCCCGUUCGGGUUCAAACUCUCCAGCCGAGGCCUCUACGUCCUUCCUCAGGCGUGUCUGGCUUUCGCGGUCAUGCCGUGUACCGACAGCGUCAGGAGCAUCAUCACGUUUUCUAACAAGGAGGACUUGAUGCUCAAAGGUUCCCGCCUUGGUUUGCACGCGGUGAUCAGCAGAAUUUCAACCACACCUUUUGGGUUUUAUAAAUCCCUCAUGAAAAAGGUUCAUGUGAGAGUGAAAGACGACGGUUCGAGGACCGUUUUCGUCCAGAACAUCUCACCCGGCGAGGCCAGAGAGCUCAGGGAAACGCUGACGGCCAUCGGUUCCCUGAAGAACUUCCUGCCUCUGCUCAACAAGGUGUUGGUGGAGUUUGAAUCCAUGAGUGGCGCCGAUCGUCUGGGCGUCUGGUUCAGCCUCCUGAAUCCGUCUCCAGUUUACAGCAUCUACAGGAUGAAGAUCCCACAGAGCAGCAGGACGCCGGCCCCACCAGAACGGGCGGUGAACGCUUUGGCGGGACCAGUGGUCCCAGACGCAAGCGGAGACGUCCCACAUGGCAGUACGCCACCCUUUUGGGUCACCAUGACGACUAACCCCUUUAUUUUCCCAACCAACUGGCCUUGGUUCAUUAUUCCAGAUUACCUGACGGUGGAAGGGAUGAGGGACGUUGAGAACGCUCCGUCUCCCCGUUUCCCCUCCUCCACCGUCCUGAUGACGGGUUUGCCUCGAGGGAACUUCACGCACCAGGACGUCGCCAAGCUGGUUUGGCCCCAUCUCCCCCAACGGACCCUUCGCUCUUUACUCUACGACGUGACGGUCCUCCCCCUGCAGAGACGGGCUUUCGUGCAUUUCAACGACUGGGACUCGUGCUGCCGGUUUCUUCGGAGCCACACCUCGGAGCGGGUUUCCGUCAGAGGCUGCGUCCUCAGCGUUCACUUGGUCUUGGAGGACAUGCAGCCUGCAUAUAGUGAGGAGGUCAUGUACCAAACUCUAAUGAAGUGGAGCAGCUCCCCCGUUCCAGAGCUGGAGUCUCUGGAGGAGCGGCUGCUCUGCGUGGAGAUCUCGGAGGCGUCGGUGGGCAUCGUCAUGAUGGUCAUGGAGGCCGUGGCAGCAGUGGCGCCCUUUGAAGGUUUCCUGCCUCUGGCCAACAGGAUCUGCAUCGAAUUAUCUGAACCCACAGAUGUAACCAGAGUGGUGCAGAAAAUCUCAGCAAACAUUUCAUCCAGGACUCAUAUUUGGAACAAAGUAAAGAGCGUCUCCUGCUUGAACAUCUUUAAAGAGCGUUUGCAGAGUUUAUGGAGCGAGCCCAUUGAUAUGGAGCUGAACGCCAGCAGAACUGCAGAUCCAAAUGACUCUGCACCAGAAAAAGACAGCAGAGCUGUGCAGAUGGAGGAGCGAGCGGCAGGAAGCUCGGCUGAAGCUGAGGAUGAAGUCGGAAGAGUGGAGAUGAAGAAGACCGAAGAAGGUGAGGGGUUCUGAUGAAUGUGAAUCCUUAACUAAUUGAAUGGGAACGUGCUGUGGAUAAAAAAAA
ensembl:lncRNA